GAUGAACGCUGGCGGCGUGCCUAAUACAUGCAAGUCGAGCGAACGGACGAGAAGCUUGCUUCUCUGAUGUUAGCGGCGGACGGGUGAGUAACACGUGGAUAACCUACCUAUAAGACUGGGAUAACUUCGGGAAACCGAAGCUAAUACCGGAUGAUAUUUUGAACCGCAUGGUUCAAAAGUGAAAGACGGUCUUGCUGUCACUUAUAGAUGGAUCCGCGCUGCAUUAGCUAGUUGGUAAGGUAACGGCUUACCAAGGCAACGAUGCAUAGCCGACCUGAGAGGGUGAUCGGCCACACUGGAACUGAGACACGGUCCAGACUCCUACGGGAGGCAGCAGUAGGGAAUCUUCCGCAAAGGGCGAAAGCCUGACGGAGCAACGCCGCGUGAGUGAUGAAGGUCUUCGGAUCGUAAAACUCUGUUAUUAGGGAAGAACAUAUGUGUAAGUAACUGUGCAAAUCUUGACGGUACCUAAUCAGAAAGCCACGGCUAACUACGUG
rnacentral:rRNA from 1 species